CAAAACAGAAAAUCAGAAUCAAAGUCGAAAAAGAGAAAAUUGCUUAUCACUCUUAUUUUAGUCGUUUGAUUGUUGGUGCAUUUGAUAUUGCCAAAAUUAUUGAACAAAUUGAAUGACCCAUCAGAAGUGUUAAAAAACACCGGACCAUCGAUAUUGAGGCGUUGCGAUGCGAAAUAUAUAUCUGAUGUCGAACGAGCCAACACAUUUAAGCUAAGUCAGGCUUUGUGCUUUACAACUGGUGAAGCUACGAAUGAUAGCAAAAUUGUUACACACGGCGAUUCGGGUGGACCAGUCGUUUCAAAAACAAAUGGCAAAAUAGUGGGGAUAACAACGGCUGAGACGGCAGAUGGUCGCGGAGCGUUCCUUCCAAUUACUCUAUUUCUUGAUUUUAUUCGUCACCCAAAGAGCGUGAAACCAAUUCCACCCCCGCUUACACCGAACGAAGCUAAAUUUAUAGCCGAUAUAACGGUACCGGGAAAGGAGAUGCAAAAUUGGAGAUUUUUCAUGAUUCAUAAACAUAAAUAUUCAUUCUGAGUUGUUUUUCUAUUACGGAAUUUCUUACUGCUUACAAAAAAGAUUUUGCCAAUGCUGACGAAGAUG